rnacentral:lncRNA from 1 species
CGACCAAAUCAAUGAUUUAAGUAUAACCAUAGCAGAUAAACUGUGAGAAUCCUUUAGCACUAACAGAAUCAUCAGAUAUCUUGAAGGAUUAUAAUCUGCUUACACAGAAAGAUCGAGAGGUACAACAUAUUCAGGGACAAAAAAUCAGGGGUUAGAAAUUAGGCAAAAUCUCUCUCAAGAAGCAAGAUAAAUAAUCAAAAUCAGAGAUUGCAUUGUAGGAAAAAUGCAUGACAGAAGCCUCUCAUUCAUGAACCCUGCUGUGAAGUCAACUCAAGGGUUUUAACAAAGCUGCAAUUUGGCAGUGUGCUGAGAAUCUGUCUGCCUUGCCAAUCAAGAACAAAGACACAAACCAUCUUUUUUAUUGUUACAGAUAAUCGUUAGGGUAACGUGCUGUUGUCUCAAUUCUCCUAUUAUUAAAUUUUCCUCUGACAAGAUUCUAAUUAAGAGAGAUUUCUCCAAAUUAUAACCAAUCAAACAUUCUUAGAAAAAAAAUAAAUAAAUAAAUACUACAAAUGUUGUCCAUACGAGUCCUUUAACACCAUCUUAUUUUAAUGGGUGUUUCAGCAAUCAGAGUGUGCUCAACCAUGGCAGAAUAGAUUUAUAUUGUUCAAUUUGUAUUAUAUAAAACUUGUAUUAUAUAAAACUGAAUUAUUACAUCCACUUCAAUUAUUUAAAAGAUAGCAUGUUGACUUGAAAGCACCAUUACUGUAGGUAAUCCUUCCUAAUCUAUUUAGAAGAGGAUCUCUUGAUGAGUACUAAUGGUACCAUCAUCAUUCAAUUUUUUUAAAGGAGGAUUUCUCGUCUUUUUAUCUAAAAUAGUUAAAAUUAACAUUAAAUCAUGAAACAUUAACGUUCUAUCCUCAUCUUUUUCCAUUUAUUUUAUGGAAUCGUCAAAAAGUUCUACUUCAUACACAACACUAUUAUUCAACUUUUUAUUUAACAAAAAGAUUUGUUAUCUUGUGGGACGUUCCCAUUUUCUAGUGAGAGUCUAGGGAGAGAAAGGCCCGUUGGCCAUGUUCACGGGCUUGAGAAAAUUUCUGGUUAUUGGACAAAAAUCUUUCGACGUGGUAGUGGAGGAGAAGGGAGUACGGGUCUACGAAAAUGGGAAGGGCCUCCGUAAAUCGAUAAUUUUUUCAGGAGGAGGAUAUCGAUUGGCUGUUACAAUGCUUUAAGGAAUUUAGAUGGGAGAAAGGGGAGUUCGCUUGGGGCAGAUGCCGACGCAGCAGUUGGAGAACCUUGCGGAUAGCAUUGAGUGGUAACAUAAAUGAUAAAUUUCUCGUGUUUUCGGAGAAGAAGGGCGGGCCAAGAGGUAGAAUCAACAGAUUAUUCCUCCCGGAGGGUGAGAAAGCAGAGGGAUGGUGGAAGAUAAUGGAGGCGCUCCAUGAGGUGAUGAGAGUAAAGUUGAUACCUCCAGACUGGGUGUCGAAGAAAAGCAAGAUGAUUGAAUAGGGUGAACUGACUACUUUUUUCGUAAAAUGUCCGGGGUGUAAAGGAGAGUUACGAUUUCGAUCCGUUAUGAGGAAAGGUUGUUCUUUUGCUGAAACCCUAAUGAAAUCAGGGAUGGAAGGUGACGGGUCAGGUUAUUUCAAAUUUUUGAAAUCGCCUCUGAUGGUGGUCACGUGAGGGGGCGCAGAGCAGGAAACAAAAAAUGCGUUUCGACGGUAUGGGCCAAGGAGACAUGAGGCCCGGAAGGUUUAGAGGAAGAAAACUAACUUGGGCUAAGGAAGGGAAGUGGGUUGAUCAACUUGGACCUAGUAGAGUUUCGGGUCGUAAACAGGUGAAAGUAGAGGCCCAAACGGAUUUUGCGCAGUUCUUCAGAAUUAAAUGACCAACCAUAUAGGGGUCAACGUGGCAGUGGAUCAAUUACCCAAAAAAUAUGAGAAUAGAGGUCGGUGAGAAAGAUGAGGGAGAAAGAAUCGAGACGGAAGUCUUCGAAGAGGAGAUUGAAGCCAUAGCAGAAGAUGAAGGUGAGAAAGAUGAGGCUCCUUCUUUGGGCAUCUCUACAAAAGGGGAAGAUGGAGAGGAAAAGGAGAUGAGAGAGAUAUGAUUAGAGUGGCGGGUUCCAUUGAGGAAAAUUCGAAGUUGUAUGAGAUUAUGGUGAUGGUGGAGGAGGGUGCAGACGCAUUGGACGUAUUUCCUAUCCAACGCGAUGAUCUCUUUCUUCAUGGACCAACGCUUCUAACAGAGGAGUCAGGCAGAGAGAAGUUCUAUUCUGACUAGGUCCAGAAGUAUUUUUUAAAGGUUAGUAAGAUGUUUGGUGUUUCUUUUCUUGGGAUGGAAUCUAGAAUUCUAAAUCUGCUUGAGGAGAUUGAGUCUCGUUAUCAAGUGGAAUGGAAUGAAAAAAAGAGAGAAAAAAAGGUUAAAAGAAGGCAAAGGGACGGGGAAAGUCGGGAGUUAAAAAGGCUGCAAUGGUCAGUGAACUAUGGCCGAAAAAAGAGUAGCAGGAAGGGAGAGGGGGUU